rnacentral:lncRNA from 1 species
AUCGACUAUUUAUUAAUGUAGGACUGUAACUUAUAUUAGACUUAAAAGUUAUAGAGAUUAAUUAGCGUAGAAAAGAAAUGGAGGGCAGAUCACUAAGCGAUCUAUGGUAGGUACAUGGACAGGGUCCAUGCAACAAUUUCACCACCCCUGUGGUAUACCUUGACCCAAUUUUUGAAACUAAAAAAUCAAGGAAUUCUGAUCUGGAUAUACGUCGAAUGCUAAAUUUUUAUUACUAUAUUCGCUAAAAAUGAAUUCGGAUUUAGAUACGAGUCGAAUUUAUAUUCCAACAGCAUUCGAAUAAUAAUAUAUACUAAUAUAUAAAUAUAAAUGUGAACUAAAAUUAGCGUUAAUAAGCCAUAUAGUGUAAUUAAAGGUUCACACGUGCUCAAACCUCGUAUACCUAUAUUUUAUUCAAUAAACUUUAAUAUUUUGACAAAUAUAAAUACAAUUUUAAUAUAAAAUGUAUAGUCAAAU